rnacentral:rRNA from 1 species
GCAGUAGCCGCGGUAAUACAGAGGGUGCAAGCGUUAAUCGGAAUUACUGGGCGUAAAGCGCGCGUAGGUGGUUUGUUAAGUUGGAUGUGAAAGCCCCGGGCUCAACCUGGGAACUGCAUCCAAAACUGGCAAGCUAGAGUACGGUAGAGGGUGGUGGAAUUUCCUGUGUAGCGGUGAAAUGCGUAGAUAUAGGAAGGAACACCAGUGGCGAAGGCGACCACCUGGACUGAUACUGACACUGAGGUGCGAAAGCGUGGGGAGCAAACAGGAUUAGAUACCCCGGUAGUCCCUGUCUCUUAUAU